CGGAGCAGGACCCAUGGGGUCACGGCCCGGUUCAAGUAAUCCAGGAUAGGCUGGUGCCAGGCCCGUGGCCUAUUCUCGAUUACUUGUCUCGGGACGUGGCUGCUGGCACGGCGACGCUGG
rnacentral:precursor_RNA from 14 species